GACGAACGCUGGCGGCGUGCCUAAUACAUGCAAGUAGAACGCAGUUGCGAACGGGUGAGUAACGCGUAGGUAACUGCCUGGUAGCGGGGGAUAACUAUUGGAAACGAUAGCUAAUACCGCAUACUACCAGAUGGACCUGCGUUUUAUUAGCUAGUUGGUGGGGUAACGGGUCAUCAAGGCAACGAUACAUAGCCGAGCUGAGAGGGUGAGCGGCCACAAUGGGACUGGGAGACGGGCCAGACUCCUACGGGAGGCAGCAGUAGGGAAUCUUCGGCAAUUGGGGGAAACCUGACCGAGCAACGCCGCGUGAGUGAAAAAGGUUUUCGGAUCGUAAAGCUCUGUUGUUAAGGAAGCGGUACUUAACCAGAAAGGGACGGCUAACUACGUGCCAGCAGCCGCGGUAAUUC
rnacentral:rRNA from 1 species